rnacentral:rRNA from 1 species
CCUACGGGAGGCUGCAGUGGGGAAUAUUGCACAAUGGGGGAAACCCUGAUGCAGCGACGCCGCGUGAGUGAAGAAGUAUUUCGGGAUGUAAAGCUCUAUCAGCAGGGAAGAAAAUGACGGUACCUGAUUAAGAAGCCCCGGCUAACUACGUGCCAGCAGCCGCGGUAAUACGUAGGGGGCAAGCGUUAUCCGGAUUUACUGGGUGUAAAGGGAGCGUAGACGGCAGCACAAGUCUGGAGUGAAAUGCGGGGGCUUAACCCCGGAACUGCGUUGGAAACUGUGCAGCUAGAGUGCAGGAGAGGUAAGUGGAAUUCCUAGUGUAGCGGUGAAAUGCGUAGAUAUUAGGAGGAACACCAGUGGCGAAGGCGGCUUACUGGACUGUAACUGACGUUGAGGCUCGAAAGCGUGGGGAGCAAACAGGAUUAGAUACCCGGGUAGUC